GGAGGAUGCAGGGACAGGCCAGGCCCAGCCAGUGGGAAAGGGGUAGCAGAGCCAGUGCACACUCCUCGGCUGGGCCCCCGGAAGCCCAGCUGGGAACAGAUAGAGUUCCAGACACAGCUGUGUCCAGCUAGCAGGACGCCAGAUCCGAAAAGUGGAUGGGCCUGGACCGUCAAACUUGGAGGGUGCAGAGACCCACUGAGAGCCUCGGCCAGCCAGACCAGCAUCUGGGAACCAGAAGUCCUAGCUGGCAGACUGUCUGGACUCCCGGCUUCCCACCCUGUUGUGUGACUUUUGAAGAUAAACUACAAAGGAGUCACAGCCAGCCAGCACCCCCUUCCCUGAGUCAGCCCAGCCCACACCCACCUCAGUGGACACAGGUCACCUACGAGAUUCUCCAGAGGGUGCAGCGGCCCCUGCUCCCCUGUCCUCAGAGAAGGCAGUGGUGCGUAGACCAGGUUCCCGUGAGCAGGGCAGCUGGGCUGGGGCUGGGUGGCCACCACCCUCAGUCCCAGCCUCUCACCCAGGAGCCUUUGAAUCCCUUUGAGCUGGAGGGAGCUGACAGCCCAGCAGACCAGGCCCCUCACAUUAAGGAUGAGGACACAGAGGCCAGGGUGCCAUGUAGAGGAGACGGGGAUUCCAGGGGCACUCGGUCUGGUCCUUGUCCCUUUUCUUCCCACCAUUUCCCUGCAACCCAUUAACAGCAUCCCAGCCCUUACCCAACCAUGCCAGGGUGUCUGGUCUCCAAGUUCCUGUGCUCCUGGCUCACUCCCACCUGUCCUUGAGGGUCACCUGGGCUCUGGGAAGCACCUCCACCCCGGGCUGCCCAGCCUCCCUGCAGACCACUCCCUGUGACCCGCGGCUUACCAUCCGCUGGCCGCUGGGCCUUGAGCUCGGCAGCGGCCUGCCCCGGAGCUGUAACUCUGGGCUCCCGGAGCUUCACACGGGGUCUGGCAUGCACCGCGUGUCCGGUACAUAUUUAUGGACUAAACCGAUGAUGCCUCGCCCACGUCCCACAGCCAGUCCGUGGCAGAGCCAGCCUAGAGGCCGGGGCUCCGGAUGUCUGGGUCCCAGCUCAUUCCAGCAACCAGGCUCCCUCCUCGCGACUCAGGGGUGCCUCCCUAAGCAUGACGGACUGUCUGGAGAGAGGUCACCUGGGCAUCAUCCCUGCCCCCUCCUUGGAGGGCUCUGUUCACACAUCCUAACCCUGGUUGGUCUGUCUGGCUGGACAGGCUCCUGGUGGAAGAGUGGGAGUCCAGGUCAGGGGUGUGCCCCUGGUGGGGGGCGAAUCACAAAAGGGCGAAUCAGCCUGCCUGAGCUAUAGACAUCUCUCUCCUCUCCUGGUGCAGGCCUAGGACCCGCACUCUGCCGGAGAACAUCCGAGGCUGCCUGGGAAGGGAGGAAGUGUCAGAAAGGCACGCGCUGCUCAGGUCAAGAAAAUGGGGUCUGGGACUGGACACACCACUGAGCUCUUAAAUGCAGAAAGAAUACUUCCAGCACCCCAAAAUGUUCCUGCACGCCCUUUCCAGGCAAAGCUCCCUGCGUCACAGCCAGCUGCUGUGCUUGAAUAGGGUCUGGUAAACACUGAGAAAUGUGUAAUCGAUGAGGGUCGUCCUUCUCCAGAAUAUUUUCACUGGGGACAAUCCCUCAGCCCAGUCAUUCUCAACUGGGGUGAUUUUGCCCCCUAGAAGACAUUUGGCAAUAUUUGGAGGAGUUUUUGAUUGUCACAAUUCAGGGGGUACUAUUGGCAUCUAGUCAGUAGAGGCCAGGGAUGCUGUUAAACAUCGUACAGUGCACAGGACACGGCCACAACGAAGAAUUAUCCAAGUGUCAGUAGUGCCAAGGUUGAGAAAUUCAGCCUUAAUCCAAAGGAAUAAACCUCAAAUGGUGAACUUCUAGGCAUCGUGCCAGGGGAUUGGACCAAGAGUGGCAGGGAGGGAUUUUCUGGAACAUCAUUUUCGAUGAAAGAGAAAUUCAUACUACAUAAGCGCAGGUAAAAGGACACUGUUUUCCACAGUGGGCAGCCCAGUGUGGAGAGGCUAAUUAGCUCUAAGCAGUAAGAAUAAAAAUUUACAAUUACUUGAGUGACUCCUUUUCACCCUAGAAAGGAUCGAGACUGAAAUGAAAAGGGGAAGGAAAUUUAGAUAAAUUAACAAAACACAAAUUAAUGGGUACUCAGAGGAAAUUAGGAUGUUGGAUGUUUUGAGGAUAUCUUCAUUUAUUUUUUUAAUUUUUAAAACAUUCAUGGGACUUCCCUGGUGGCGCAGUGGUUCAGAAUCCGGCUGCCAUUGCAGGGGAUAUGGAUUCGAUCCCUAGUCUGGGAAGAUCCCCCACGCCGCGGAGCAACUAAGGCCGUGCGCCGCAACUACUGAGCCUGCACUCUGGAGUUCGUGAGCCACAACUACUGAAGCCCACGGGCCUAGAGCCCGUGCUCCACGGCAAGAGAAGCCACCGCAAUGAGAAGUCCGCACACCGCAAGGAAGAGUAGCUCCCGCUCGCCACAACUAGAGAAAGCCCGCGUGCAGCAACGAAGACCCAAUGCAGCCAAAAAUCAGUUCUGUAUUUCUCUACUUAUAAUGGUGACUUACGACUCCUAUUUCUAGAUAAUGAAACAAAUCUUUUUGUCCUCCCCAAGUGACUCCAAAUUUACUCCUUUUUUAGUAGCUUAAUUGCUUUAUCCUUUGCAUUUGAAGGUAAACUUCAAAAGGGGUAAGAGCAAUCUUUAGAAUUUAAUUUGUAUCUAUGUUAUACCUAGUAUAGUGCUUCAGACAAUAAACUGAUUA